rnacentral:rRNA from 1 species
GUAGGGAAUAUUGCACAAUGGGGGAAACCCUGAUGCAGCGACGCCGCGUGAGUGAUGAAGGCCUUCGGGUCGUAAAGCUCUGUCGUAUGGGACUAACACAAUGAAGGUACCAUGCAUGAAAGGAUCGGCUAACUUCGUGCCAGCAGCCGCGGUAAGACGAGGGAUCCUAGCGUUGUUCGGAAUCAUUGGGUGUAAAGCGGGUUUAGGCGGAUUUAUAAGUCAGGUGUGAAAGGCCAGGGCUCAACCCUGGAAUUGCAAUUGAUACUGUAAAUCUUGAGUGUGGUAGAGGUAACUGGAAUUGUUGGUGUAGUGGUGAAAUACGUAGAUAUCAACAGGAAUACCGGAGGCGAAGGCGAGUAACUGGGCCAACACUGACGCUGAGACCCGAAAGCGUGGGGAUCAAACAGGAUUAGAAACCCGUGUAGUCC